rnacentral:rRNA from 1 species
UACAGAGGUGGCAAGCGUUGUUCGGAAUUACUGGGCGUAAAGGGCGAGUAGGUGGCCAUCUAAGUCAGACGUGAAAUCCCCCGGCUUAACCUGGGAACUGCGUCUGAUACUGGACGGCUUGAGUAUGGGAGAGGAAUGUAGAAUUCCAGGUGUAGCGGUGAAAUGCGUAGAUAUCUGGAGGAAUACCGGUGGCGAAGGCGGCAUUCUGGACCAUUACUGACACUGAAUCGCGAAAGCUAGGGGAGCGAA